AUUGAACGCUGGCGGCAGGCCUAACACAUGCAAGUCGAACGAGUGGCGGACGGGUGAGUAAUGUCUGGGAAACUGCCUGAUGGAGGGGCAUACCUACUGGAAACGGUAGCUAAUACCGCAUACCAUCGGAUGUGCCCAGAGGGGAUUAGCUAGUAGGUGGGGUAACGGCUCACCUAGGCGACGAUCCCUAGCUGGUCUGAGAGGAUGACUAGCCACACUGAAACUGAGACACGGUCCAGACUCCUACGGGAGGCAGCAGUGGGGAAUAUUGCACAAUGGGCGCAAGCCUGAUGCAGCCAUGCCGCGUGUAUGAAGAAGGCCUUCGGGUUGUAAAGUACUUUCAGCGGGGAGGCGUUACUCGCAGAAGAAGCACCGGCUAACUCCGUGCCAGCAGCCGCGGUAAUUC
rnacentral:rRNA from 1 species